rnacentral:rRNA from 1 species
CUGCGUGGAGCCGACCUUGAAAUACCACCCUUUAAUGUUUGAUGUUCUAACGUGGACCCGUAAUCCGGGUUGCGGACAGUGUCUGGUGGGUAGUUUGACUGGGGCGGUCUCCUCCUAAAGAGUAACGGAGGAGCACGAAGGUUGGCUAAUCCUGGUCGGACAUCAGGAGGUUAGUGCAAUGGCAUAAGCCAGCUUGACUGCGAGCGUGACGGCGCGAGCAGGUGCGAAAGCAGGUCAUAGUGAUCCGGUGGUUCUGAAUGGAAGGGCCAUCGCUCAACGGAUAAAAGGUACUCCGGGGAUAACAGGCUGAUACCGCCCAAGAGUUCAUAUCGACGGCGGUGUUUGGCACCUCGAUGUCGGCUCAUCACAUCCUGGGGCUGAAGUAGGUCCCAAGGGUAUGGCUGUUCGCCAUUUAAAGUGGUACGCGAGCUGGGUUUAGAACGUCGUGAGACAGUUCGGUCCCUAUCUGCCGUGGGCGCUGGAGAACUGAGGGGGGCUGCUCCUAGUACGAGAGGACCGGAGUGGACGCAUCACUGGUGUUCGGGUUGUCAUGCCAAUGGCACUGCCCGGUAGCUAAAUGCGGAAGAGAUAAGUGCUGAAAGCAUCUAAGCACGAAACUUGCCCCGAGAUGAGUUCUCCCUGAGACUUAGAGUCUCCUGAAGGAACGUUGAAGACGACGACGUUGAUAGGCCGGGUGUGUAAGCGCAGCGAUGCGUUGAGCUAACCGGUACUAAUGAACCGUGAGG